rnacentral:lncRNA from 1 species
CAGGGCUUGCCAGGGAGGCAACCGCAGGAAGCCAGAGAAACAGGGGAUGAGAGAGUCCAGCUUCACUCGACAGCAGACCCCUCGAAUGUGUCCCUGAGAGGGCAGAGCUACCCUGAAGACUGAAAAGAAUGGAAUCGACAGUGAUGGGCCAAGGAAUGCCAAAGAUCGCCAGAAAAUCACCAAAAGUUAGGAGAGGGGAAGAGAACAGGUCCAUCCUCACAACCCUCAGAAGGAACCGACCCUGCCCAAACCCUGAUCCUGGACUGUCAGCCUCCCGCACUGUGAAACAAUAAGUUUCUGUGGGUUAAGCCCCAAAUAUGUGGCACUUUGUCACCACGGCCAUGGGAAACAAAUACAAGCACCCAGGAAAUGCGAAGCACAGGUUUGCCAAGUGUGAUCUGGAUGGAACAGUCUGAAACAGUUGAAAAAUCCCGGCACUGAUCUCUCUGCCUCUGAAUAAUUUGUUUUUGCUAUUUGUUACCACAUACUAAAGCCCAAACUUUUGAGUUCAUAUCACAUCAGAAAAGUGGCUUGGGUGAGGAAGUAGGCUUAUUUUUCCUCAAAAGGACUCCAGAGAGAAGAAAUAGUGUUGAAUUUUAGUCACCAAUGGCAAACAUAACAAAAAUACCAUCUGGGGUCUAUUUUUUCCAACAUAGAACCUCUGCUACAAAAUUUGACCUUUAUUGGCAUAUUUAGCUUAAAGAUUUUCUUUGGUUCUUAAGGGAGACUGUCACACAGUGGCUUCAGGCUUGGCUGGAUCCAGGUGCUCAAACUGUGUUAGGAAUCUCUCUCUUUCCAUUCUCAGCCCUGCUUCCUUUGUGCUGUCUUCAUUAGCGGUCAGUCUGUCCCUGCUGUAGGCUCACCCAAGCUUAGCAACUCUGAGAGAAGUCCUGGGAUUAAGUCUCAUUGCUUGUUGUUGAACUGUGGGCAAAGAGAUGGAAGACACUGAUUGAUCAGUCUUGGUCACAUGCCCAAUUCUAAAGUUGGCCCUUCUCAAACCACAUGGACGGGAAUGAGACAACGAUUCCCCAAAGGAAAAUCAGAAGAAAGAUGUGGACAGAAGAGAAAUGGAUGUUGAAGAGGCAGACCCAGCAGACAUCAACCACACUGACUCUAAGUGAGUCACUAAGGGUCACCCAAACACAGAGUUCACAAAUUCAAAAUAGAAAGUUACUGUAGUUUAUUGAGCACUCUAACUUGGUAGUCCACCUAGAAGUCUGGCUGCCAAAUACCUCACAGCAUUACACACACACAUACACCAAUAGUAGGGAUUUCCAUAACUUCCUGAAGGAACCUUUGAUCUUUGUGUUAUCUUGAGUUGGCCAUUUUUAACUGCUGUUCUUUUUACUAAUCUAAUGAUAAAUUACUGCGGGUUUAGCUUGUUAAUAUCAAUUCAAUCUGUUGUGGGCUGUUUGGCAAAUCCUGCAGUGUUAAUAACACUCAUUUGCAUCAGCAGUAUUUUGGGUCUGUAAUUUUUCAAUAAGUAGACUUUAAGUCAUGCACGCAUUGAGUGAAAAUAGAAAUCAUCUGUAC